rnacentral:rRNA from 1 species
AAAACGUAGUAACCAACCCUUUAGACUGGGAUAGCCACUGGAAACGGUGGGUAAUACCGGAUAAGCUCGAGAGAGGAAAGGCAGAGAAGCGCUAAAGGACGGAACUGCGCCCCAUCAGAUAGUUGGUGAGGUAAAGGCUUACCAAGUCAAAGACGGGAAACCGACGUGAGAGCGUGUACGGUCACAAGGGCACUGAGAGACGGGCCCUACUCCUACGGGAGGCAGCAGUGGGGAAUAUUGGACAAUGGACGAAAGUCUGAUCCAGCGACGCCGCGGGGAGGAAG